rnacentral:rRNA from 1 species
ACCGGCGCACGGGUGCGCAACGCGUAUGCAUCUACCUCUUACUAAGGGAUAGCCCAGAGAAAUUUGGAUUAAUAUCUUAUGUGUCGGCAUCGGUAAAGGUUACGGUAAGAGAUGAGCAUGCGUCCCAUUAGUUAGUUGGUAAGGUAACGGCUUACCAAGACGUCGAUGGGUAGGGGUCCUGAGAGGGAGAUCCCCCACACUGGUACUGAGACACGGACCAGACUCCUACGGGAGGCAGCAGUGAGGAAUAUUGGACAAUGGGCGGAAGCCUGAUCCAGCCAUGCCGCGUGCAGGAAGACUGCCUAUGGGUUGUAAACUGCUUUUAUACAGGAAGAAUAAGACCCUCGUGAGGGUCGAUGACGGUACUGUAAGAAUAAGGACCGGCUAACUCCGUGCCAGCAGCCGCGGUAAUACGGAGGGUCCGAGCGUUAUCCGGAAUUAUUGGGUUUAAAGGGUCCGUAGGCGGGCUGUUAAGUCAGGGGUGAAAUGCUGCGGCUCAACCGUAGCACUGCCUUUGAUACUGGCGGUCUUGAGUUAUAGUGAAGUGGCUAGAAUAUGUAGUGUAGCGGUGAAAUGCAUAGAUAUUACAUAGAAUACCCAUUGCGAAGGCAGGUCACUAACUAUUAACUGACGCUGAUGGACGAAAGCGGGGUUAGCCGACCAGAUAGAAUACCCUGGUAGUCCCCGCCGU